UACGUAGGGUGCGAGCGUUGUCCGGAAUUAUUGGGCGUAAAGGGCUCGUAGGCGGUUUGUCGCGUCGGGAGUGAAAACUCAGGGCUUAACCCUGAGCCUGCUUCCGAUACGGGCAGACUAGAGGUAUGCAGGGGAGAACGGAAUUCCUGGUGUAGCGGUGAAAUGCGCAGAAUAUCAGGAGGAACACCGGUGGCGAAGGCGGUUC
rnacentral:rRNA from 1 species